rnacentral:rRNA from 1 species
AUUGAACGCUGGCGGCAUGCCUUACACAUGCAAGUCGAACGGUAACAGGUCUUCGGAUGCUGACGAGUGGCGAACGGGUGAGUAAUACAUCGGAACGUGCCUAGUAGUGGGGGAUAACUACUCGAAAGAGUGGCUAAUACCGCAUGAGAUCUACGGAUGAAAGCAGGGGAUCGCAAGACCUUGUGCUACUAGAGCGGCCGAUGGCAGAUUAGGUAGUUGGUGGGAUAAAAGCUUACCAAGCCGACGAUCUGUAGCUGGUCUGAUGGGACGAUCAGCCAAACUGGGACUGAGACACGGACCAGACUCCUACGGGAGGCAGCAGUGGGGAAUUUUGGACAAUUGGCGAAAGCCUGAUCCAGCAAUGCCGCGUGCAGGAUGAAGGCCUUCGGGUUGUAAACUGCUUUUGUACGGAACGAAAAGCCCCGGGUUAAUACCCUGGGGUCAUGACGGUACCGUAAGAAUAAGCACCGGCUAACUACGUGCCAGCCGCCGCCGCAACAC